rnacentral:rRNA from 1 species
AGGAUGAACGCUAGCGGCAGGCUUAAUACAUGCAAGUCGUGGGGUAACAUGGUAGUAAUACUGAUGACGACCGGCAAACGGGUGCGUAACACGUACACAACUUUCCUUUAAGUGGGGAAUAGCCCAGAGAAAAUUUGGAUUAAUACCCCGUAAUAUUAUCAGAUGGCAUCAUUUUAUAAUUAUAGCUUCGGCGCUUAAUGAUGGGUGUGCGGCUGAUUAGGUAGUUGGCGGGGUAACGGCCCACCAAGCCUUCGAUCAGUAGCUGAUGUGAGAGCAUGAUCAGCCACACGGGCACUGAGACACGGGCCCGACUCCUACGGGAGGCAGCAGUAAGGAAUAUUGGUCAAUGGACGAAAGUCUGAACCAGCCAUGCCGCGUGGAGGAUUAAGGCCCUCUGGGUUGUAAACUCCUUUAUCUGGAAGAAAUGCCUGUUUUCUAACGGGUUUGACGGUACCAGAGGAAUAAGCACCGGCUAACUCCGUGCCAGCAGCCGCGGUAA